rnacentral:rRNA from 1 species
GNGGCUGCUCAGCUACCAUGCAGCCGAGCGGUAGAGAUCUUUCGGGAUCUUGAGAGCGGCGUACGGGUGCGGAACACGUGUGCAACCUGCCUUUAUCUGGGGGAUAGCCUUUCGAAAGGGAGAUUAAUACCCCAUAAUAUAUUUAUCGGCAUCGAUAGAUAUUGAAAACUCCGGUGGAUAGAGAUGGGCACGCGCAAGAUUAGAUAGUUGGUGAGGUAACGGCUCACCAAGUCUGCGAUCUUUAGGGGGCCUGAGAGGGUGAUCCCCCACACUGGUACUGAGACACGGACCAGACUCCUACGGGAGGCAGCAGUGAGGAAUAUUGGACAAUGGGUGAGAGCCUGAUCCAGCCAUCCCGCGUGAAGGACGACGGCCCUAUGGGUUGUAAACUUCUUUUGUAUAGGGAUAAACCUACCCUCGUGAGGGUAGCUGAAGGUACUAUACGAAUAAGCACCGGCUAACUCCGUGCCAGCAGCCGCGGUAAUACGGAGGGUGCAAGCGUUAUCCGGAUUUAUUGGGUUUAAAGGGUCCGUAGGCGGAUCUGUAAGUCAGUGGUGAAAUCUCACAGCUUAACUGUGAAACUGCCAUUGAUACUGCAGGUCUUGAGUGUUGUUGAAGUAGCUGGAAUAAGUAGUGUAGCGGUGAAAUGCAUAGAUAUUACUUAGAACACCAAUUGCGAAGGCAGGUUACUAAGCAACAACUGACGCUGAUGGACGAAAGCGUGGGGAGCGAACAGGAUUAGAUACCCUGGUAGUCCACGCCGUAAACGAUGCUAACUCGUUUUUGGUAUUUCGGUAUCAGAGACUAAGCGAAAGUGAUAAGUUAGCCACCUGGGGGAGUACGUUCGCAAGAAUGAAACUCAAAGGAAUUGACGGGGGCCCGCACAAGCGGUGGAUUAUGUGGUUUAAUUCGAUGAUACGCGAGGAACCUUACCAAGGCUUAAAUGGGAAAUGACAGGUUUAGAAAUAGACUUUUCUUCGGACAUUUUUCAAGGUGCUGCAUGGUUGUCGUCAGCUCGUGCCGUGAGUUGUUAGGUUAAGUCCUGCAACGAGCGCAACCCCUGUCACUAGUUGCCAUCAUUAGUUGGGGACUCUAGUGAGACUGCUACGCAGUAGAGAGAGGUGGGAUGACGUCAAUCAUCACGGCCCUUACGCCUUGGGCCAACACACGUAUAC